rnacentral:rRNA from 1 species
GAGGAAUAUUGGACAAUGGGUGAAAGCCUGAUCCAGCCAUCCCGCGUGAAGGAUGACGGUCCUAUGGAUUGUAAACUUCUUUUGUACAGGGAUAAACCUACCCUCGUGAGGGUAGCUGAAGGUACUGUACGAAUAAGCACCGGCUAACUCCGUGCCAGCAGCCGCGGUAAUACGGAGGGUGCAAGCGUUAUCCGGAUUUAUUGGGUUUAAAGGGUCCGUAGGCGGACCUGUAAGUCAGUGGUGAAAUCUCAUAGCUUAACUAUGAAACUGCCAUUGAUACUGCAGGUCUUGAGUAAAUUUGAAGUGGCUGGAAUAAGUAGUGUAGCGGUGAAAUGCAUAGAUAUUACUUAGAACACCAAUUGCGAAGGCAGGUCACUAAGAUUUAACUGACGCUGAUGGACGAAAGCGUGGGUAGCGAAC